UCUCUCUCCAUGUUCCUGAUCUAGCCUGUGGACAGUGGCGGCAACUCCACUUCCUCAAUAUGUCUGGGCUUGGCUCUCGGCUUCCCUUCCCCUAUCGUUGUUCAAGGUAGAGGCGGUCUCGUUCUCCCGUGAAUGGCACUACCUUGCACUAGUUCCAGCCUUCCUCUCAGAGCACCUUUUUCUUAGGCAGGGUACCCUAAAGCAGACCUCGAAAUAGGGAUUCCAAUGAGAGACCCUUAUUAGGAAGUAUUCCCAGAGUGAUCCAGGAGUGGAGCGCGGAGACUGGAAUGGGAAGAGAACAACGUGGAAAGGUGGCCAGUCUCUUCCCACAGAUCCAGUAUAGAGAGGUCUGAGGCAGAACGAUUCCCUGAUAGUGAAGACUGUGGAACUAAGCAGAAUUUGUACAGGUGCCCAAGGAUGCCACUGGCAAGUUAAAUUCCUUCCAUCUACCUGCUCAGUCAUCCCAAGGCAUAUGGUUUUGCCCUCACUGACACAGGUUGGCUAGCUCUUCCACAUACGUGUUUCUGGAAAGAAGACAGAAGUGUCUCAUGAAGCUUUGUCUCUCCGUUCAAGAGCUGAUACCCUCACCAAGAGUCCCAUCUGCCUUUCCUUGGCAAGAACUGAGAUGUGGACACAUGGCUGCUCAUUGCAGCAAGGGAGUCUGGAAAGAAGACUAUUUUUCCAGGGCAUAUUAUCACCUCAGUGGAAUCCACGACUGUUGGGUACCAGCUAGCUAUGUCUACAUAGCAUCUAUUAACAUCUUUGAUCCUUACAGUAAGCCUAUGCUAUGGUUAUCAGUGAAUGCAAUUUUAUGAACUAAGGGACUAGUGGGACAAAUGAGUUUAGAUCAUUUCCCAAAGUCUGUAUAGUUAUUAAUUAGAGUAGCAGGGGAUAGCAUGCUUAUUUGGGCUCCUAAGAAGCCUGAGGGCAAGACUGUGUUUUUGCACAUCUUCCUGUACCUGCAUUACUGAACAUCCUGGUCAGCAGGAGGAUUGAGGGCUUUCUUGACAUCUUAAUGAGAAUCUAUAAUGUCCACCCCCAUCUCAAUACACAACAGCUGCCAGAAAGAACUCUGUCCUGGCAUGAUUUCCCUCUUGGUGUAAGGCAUCUGGGACUAGGGUGUCUUGGACUCAGUUUUGUUGGUUGCCAACCUGGCCAUGCUGAGUUGAGUACAACCAGACUCAGUUUCAGGGAGUGUCUUCUCAAAGUGGUAAAUGCUUUUCACUGGGUCCUAUCACUGGGUAUGAAAGGCUGAGUGAUUCCCAAGUCUGUCUCAGCCAAUCACAAACAUGCCUUCCAGGAUGGUGCCCAAAGUGCACUUUUAUUAAAGAAAACUGUAUUUGAUAUCAACAUAUGGCAAAACUGUCUUUCAUUCCACCUGUUUGCUGGCUCAUAUGGUCUGAGGAAGAGAAAAGAAGACAAGCUCAUAAUUACUAUAGAUUUUUUAACAUACCCACAGAUAAUUACUCUUGACUGUAAACAAGGGCAGUUGUAAGAAUGAUUGUCUCAUCUGUACUUGGUUUGCUUUAGGAUAAGAAAUAUUGAAUGACCUUGGAAUGUCAUUAUUUGUGUACACAUUUUUUUCUCUCAUUUAAAUGGAUAGGAUAUGCCUCCUCCCAGAUUACAGUCACACCUAAAGUGCCCUAGUGCCUUUGCUAAGUUUUAGCACAAGGGCACUUCACUAAACACAUGAACAAAUGAAGGAAGGAAGAAGAAAAGCUUCUGGAGGAAAUACUUUAAAAACCCUGAAGCUUUUCUAGGCUCAUUCGGAUUUUUGAGAAGGAAACUACUGGUGACUGAACGAAUGUAAAAAUGCACUUGGCAGUCAGUGAUCCCAGCACCUUCGCCUUGGAAGCAACCAGGGCUCCGUGCUGACAGUGCCUGCUGUAAGCUGGGAUACAGUGAACUCAUCUGGAUCAACUGCCACAAGGAAACAGUGACACCCACUUCCAACCUGAAUUAUAAUGCCCACACAAGUUCAAUCCACUGCUGGGUUGUGUGGCAUCUCCACCUACUCUAGGUGGCCUUGAGCCUGCAUCAUCGUCUAGGUCUCUUACAAGGACCCAGCCAGGGUCUGGCAGACUGGUGUGCUGAACUGAUGUCUCUUCAUUACCUGUGUAGAGAGGAAGGCAAGUAUGACCUUGGGCUACACAUUUAAUCUGUGCUUUCUGUACCUUGGUCAGGACUUCAGACCCAUCUGUCUUCUCCAUCUGUCACCACCCUUUGCCUACUUCCACACACUAAAGUCACCCCCAUACUAGUCUGAAUGAGCCUAUCUCUAGCCCCACCUCCUCCAUUAUUCAAGGGUCAGCUCAAUGCUACUCUGUACAGAGAGCUUCUCAGAUUUCCCACAAGGAAGCAGCUUCUUCCUCUGAAAGACUGCUCACCUCUGUCUCUUCUAGAACACUGGUUACGCUCAGCCUGUAUCCCUGUCAUCUCUGCCUGCUGCUUACCUGCUCCCUUGCUUGAUGGAUGUCCAGGUCAUGGAAUUGGUUCUAACAUCUUCAGUGAGGAGUGGUGGUCACUGCCCACGGUGAAAUCUGUCAUUGUAAAAAUAAAUACAUUUACUUAAUACUGAGAAAUAUUUGCAGGAUUAAGAGGUCAGCUUUUUUGUUCUUUGACCACGUGGGUUGUUUUCUGCCAAGGGUCAAGAAGGAUGGCAUUUUAGAGGAAGUGGGACUCUCAUGUCCUGAACACACAGCCAACUUGAGCUUACCGAGGACCAUAAAGAAGAAAGAAUUUAGCACUAUUUGAGAUUUAUUUUUUCCGAUUUCUGCACCCCUGAGGGCCUCUGAGGGGGAAUUACAGGUAGGAAAUUAAGGCACACAAGGGGAAUCAUAGAAGUUACAGCCAAAGCCUCAGUUCUUUUCCUGCAGUCCAGCUCCUUUUGUCACAUUGGGGACAAACAAAUUCACUUUUUUUGAAGCCCAAUUUCCUCAUCCGUCAAAAGAGACUAACGCUGGCAGAAGUUUCACAGAGCUACAGGAUGGUUCCAUCUGGAUGCUGGGCAUACAACAAAUCCUCAGUCAAACAGCAGCUAUUACAAAGGCUGGUCACACAGGCCUUCCAAUCCCGAUGAACUCACUCUCCCUCAGCUGUACUCAGAGCAGGAUGUGUCUGACUGUAGGAUGUGCAACAGUGAAGAGGGCAGCCCCCUACCGGGAGCUUAUAGCCCGAGGAGACCACGGCAUAUCACGUAUCCUUCAGCACUUCCGAUAAGAGACCAAGAAGCAUAUCAUGUGUCUUUUUCCUCCUUUGGCCUUUGAAGUAUGAGCUAUAAAUGGGUAAAAACACAUCAACCACUCUCUUCAUGAAUAUUUAUUGAGAUAGCACUUUUAAUACAGAACCAUUUGAAAAGUGAACCUCGGAGGAAAACUGCUUCUUUUGCAGCCAUUGAUCUUAAAAUAUUUUCUACGAAUGCACUUGCACUUGAAAUAUGACACCCUGCUUUUUCUUAUUUGUUCUGGGUAAAAUCACAAGGACUUGGCCUGGAUGGUUUUUUUAACAAGCUGAACAGUAUGGGCGAAAUCAUCAUCUGGAUCAAGUUCGACUUUUAUUCUGGUCUUUGGUUUGCUAGUUUCUGUCUGUUUUCCUCAAGAUGUCUCCGGGACUCACAACAGCUGGUAAAGGGGAGGCGGAACGCACACCCCUAACAGGUGAUCCCUGGUACUUGCUGGUGAGAUCACCUCCACCAGGGCUAGAGGGGUUUUGAAAGUUAUCUUGUCCAGUGCCCAUCCUCACAGGUGAGGAUGCUUUUAAAGAUUCUCUCAAAUAGAAUAUGCUUCACUGUGCUCCUGCUGCACAGGCCAAGGUUAAAGGCAUAAGAGCCUUGAGGUCUGUGUGAGGCUCUGAAAGUCAGUGGAAUCCAUAUCUCUACUGAUGGCAGAAAUAUGAAUUGUUAUAGACAUUCAGGGUAAGAGGCCAUGUUUUGAUUAAUAUGAAAAUAGCAUAUGCCCUUUGAAUGUGCAGUUUACUUUGAAGACUCCAGCGUAUAACAGCCCCGUGGAGUAAGGCUGGCUGUGGCCUCUGUUGUAAAGGGUCUCAUUUCAACAUCAAGAAGCAGCCUGGACGUGCACCCAGACAGACAGGGCGGGUGACUAAAUCAUCCACCGAUUCUGCAGACUAGUGGUCUCAAGCCAGCACGUUUGACUGCUAUUUGAUGAGAGUGCACACCUCCAAAAUACAGAUAUUUACUUGCACAUAUUCUCUCUUACUGGCAGGAUGAACAAACGCACACAUAAAUUUUAAAGAGUUGAGUUAAAAAUAAAUAGGGGUCAGAGUUUGACUUUGUUUCUCCUCGUGCCGGUGGGGUGGAGUCACCGCAUCAGAAGCUUCACCUGCAGGAGAUCAGGCUGCACAGUAAAGGACUGAGAACACAUGAUUCAGCAGAAAAGAUAAAUUUGCUUUGUAUGAUCAUAAUUUUAUUUUGAAAAUAAAUGCUGUCUCCCUUAGUUCUGUCUAUUUGUAG